CAGUCAUACCAACGGGGAAAUCAACCUUUUGAGUUCGGUCUUGUGAGUUUGAAGAGUUUCAAAGCCUUCGGAUUUGUGAGAUUGGGAUCUCUUGGUGCACUUUUUCGUACGGUUAGUCAACAUCGGUUUUAAUCAUUAUAAAAUGGUUGAAGGAAUGUAACUUUGAUUUCGAUCGAGGUAUUAUAGCCUAUGACAGAUGUAAUGAUCAAGACCGAGGAUUGCAACGGAUACCCUUCAGGGCUAUUCGUCUGAUCUUUGGUA
rnacentral:rRNA from 1 species